rnacentral:rRNA from 1 species
UGCCAGCAGCCGCGGUAAUACGGAGGGGGCAAGCGUUGUUCGGAAUUACUGGGCGUAAAGGGCGCGUAGGCGGAAGGACAAGUUAGGGGUGAAAGGCCUGGGCUCAACCUGGGAACUGCCUCUAAAACUGUUUUUCUAGAGUCCGGAAGAGGAUGGCGGAAUUCCCAGUGUAGAGGUGAAAUUCGUAGAUAUUGGGAAGAACACCAGAGGCGAAGGCGGCCAUCUGGUCCGGAACUGACGCUGAGGCGCGAAAGCGUGGGGAGCAAACAGGAUUAGAUA